AUGACAGAAGCAGAGUUGUUUCGAAUGCCAUCAUCACUACGAAGGCUAUUCGCGACAAUCUUGGUUUUCUGCGAACCCAGUGACGUACGUGGCCUAUGGAACAAAUACCUUGAUGCAAUGUCAGAAGACUACAGCAGAAACUGUAAAUGCAAGCACACAAUCGAACAGAUGGUGCUGAGAAAUAUCAGGGACAUGUUGCACUCAAUGGGAAAAGACAUAGAAUCAUUUCCUCUUCCAGAGAUCGACAAACGACAUGAGACGACCGACGACAUACCUAGGGAGAUCGUUGAGGAGACCUCCAUCGAGGUUGACCCUGAGGACGUAUCGUUGCAUAAAAACCUAAACAUCGAGCAGAGGAAGGCCUACGACGAAAUCCUAGCCACGGUUGACCGCCAAAGAGGAGGUAUAUUCUUUGUCGAUGGGCCGGGAGGCACAGGAAAAACUUUUCUUUAUAGGGCGCUCUUGGCCACAAUACGCGAACAAGGCAAGAUUGCCGUGGCAACGACCACUUCCGGUGUUGCCGCUUCCAUAAUGCCCGGAGGGAGGACCGCACACUCGAGGUUCAAGAUUCCACUAAAAAUAGAUGAUGGAGCUAUUUGUAGCUUCACAAAACAGAGUGGGACAGCAAAGCUACUCCAAGCAGCAUCACUAAUAAUCUGGGAUGAAGCAUCUAUGACAAAGAGACAGACAGUGGAGGCGCUAGACAAAAGCAUGCGGGACAUAAUGGAUAGACUAGAUCUUCCAUUUGGUGGAAAAACGAUCGUAUUUGGGGAAGAUUUUAGACAAUUGCUACCUAUUGUCUGA
rnacentral:rRNA from 1 species